GAUGAAGAACGUAGUGAACUGCGAUAAGUAAUGUGAAUUGCAGAAUUCAGUGAAUCAUCGAGUCUUUGAACGCACAUUGCGCCCCCUGGUAUUCCGGGGGGCAUGCCUGUCCGAGCGUCAUUGCUGCCCUCAAGCACGGCUUGUGUGUUGGGCCUCCGUCCUCCUCCCGGGGGACGGGCCCGAAAGGCAGCGGCGGCACCGCGUCCGGUCCUCGAGCGUAUGGGGCUUCGUCACCCGCUCUUGUAGGCCCGGCCGGCGCUUGCCGACACAUCAAUCUUUUUUCCAGGUUGACCUCGGAUCAGGUAGGGAUACCCGCUGAACUUAAGCAUAUCAAUAAGCGGAGGA
rnacentral:misc_RNA from 1 species